rnacentral:rRNA from 1 species
UACGGGGGGAGCAAGCGUUGUUCGGAUUUACUGGGCGUAAGGGGCGCGUAGGCGGCCACCGCAAGUCGGUUGUGAAAUCUCCGGGCUUAACCCGGAAAGGUCAAUCGAUACUGCGGGGCUAGAGUGCAGAAGGGGCAACUGGAAUUCUCGGUGUAGCGGUGAAAUGCGUAGAUAUCGGGAGGAACACCAAUGGCGAAGGCAGCUCGCUGGGACGGUACUGACGCUGAGACGCGAAAGCGUGGGGAGCAAACAGG